GACGAACGCUGGCGGCGUGCCUAAUACAUGCAAGUAGAACGCAGUUGCGAACGGGUGAGUACCGCGUAGGUAAUUGCCUCAUAGCGGGGGAUAACUAUUGGAAACGAUAGCUAAUACCGCAUACUGUGAGAUGGACCUGCGUUGUAUUAGCUAGUUGGUGAGGGAAAGGCUCACCAAGGCGACGAUACAUAGCCGACCUGAGAGGGUGGACGGCCAAACCGGGAAUGGGAACAGGCCCAGACUUCUACCGGAGGGAACAAUAGGGGAACAUCGGCAAUGGACGGAAAUCUGGACGAGCAACGGCGCGUGAGGGAAGGAAGUUUUCGGGUCGUAAAGGUCUGUUAUGAGGGAAGCGUUAACUACCCAGAAAGGGACGGCUAACUACGUGCCAGCAGCCGCGGUAAUUC
rnacentral:rRNA from 1 species